UACGUAGGGUGCAAGCGUUGUCCGGAAUUAUUGGGCGUAAAGAGCUCGUAGGCGGUCUGUCGCGUCGGAUGUGAAAAUCCAGGGCUCAACCCUGGACCUGCAUUCGAUACGGGCAGACUAGAGUUCGGCAGGGGAGACUGGAAUUCCUGGUGUAGCGGUGAAAUGCGCAGAUAUCAGGAGGGACACCGGUGGCGAAGGCAGGUCUCUGGGCCAUAACUGACGCUGAGAAGCGAAAGCAUGGGGAGCGAACAGG
rnacentral:rRNA from 1 species